GAUGAACGCUGGCGGCGUGCCUAAUACAUGCCAGUCGAGCGAACGGACGAGAAGCUUGCUUCUCUGAUGUUAGCGGCGGUCGGGUGAGUAACACGUGGAUAACCUACCUAUAAGACUGGGAUAACUUCGGGAAACCGGAGCUAAUACCGGAUGAUAUUUUGAACCGCAUGGUUCAAAAGUGAAAGACGGUCUUGCUGUCACUUAUAGAUGGAUCCGCGCUGCAUUAGCUAGUUGGUAAGGUAACGGCUUACCAAGGCAACGAUGCAUAGCCGACCUGAGAGGGUGAUCGGCCACACUGGAACUGAGACACGGUCCAGACUCCUACGGGAGGCAGCAGUAGGGAAUCUUCCGCAAUGGGCGAAAGCCUGACGGAGCAACGCCGCGUGAGUGAUGAAGGUCUUCGGAUCGUAAAACUCUGUUAUUAGGGAAGAACAUAUGUGUAAGUAACUGUGCACAUCUUGACGGUACCUAAUCAGAAAGCCACGGCUAACUACGUG
rnacentral:rRNA from 1 species